UAACUUUUGGUAUACUUAAAUUCGGGCUAUUAUUUAAUAUAUAUAUUGAUCAACAGCGGCGAUAAAAAUCAUUAGUCUCGACAAUGACUAGUUGUCAGUGAAAGUCUCUCAGGGGAGCCAGGCGGCUCUGUGAAUAAAGAGCUGGCUUGAACGCCUCGUGUUCAUUAGCCUGAAUAGUGAAGGAAUGCGGGUCAUUAAACCCCAAUUUCAUUUCAUAAAUCUCUCGGCUCAAUAAUGAGCUACUCGGGUUGGUUAGAUCCACGCCUUAAUGCAUAUACAACCAAUAGAGAAAUAGGUCAAAUAUGGCGACAAUGCUCAACUUGCUCUUCUUCUACUAAAUUAAAGAUUCGUGUGGAGAUUCUGUCGAUAUAAUCAUAUAUUUAUAUCUGCUCUUUCUUAAAAUAGAGACGUCCAUCUCUGAGACAACAAAAACGUAAAUAAAUGGAAGAUAAAAGCAAGAAAGACAACCCUAAUAAAGGAGUCAGGACUAAGACUAGUAAUUAUUUCCCCUUAUUUCAUGAUUGUCGAAUGUAGUGCGAGUUAUAAAUAGACAAUUUUUCCCUUAAUUUUUUUCUCCCCUCUUCCUGCAUUUUUGGGUUGACUUUUUGGUCUAGAAUUGGAGAAAAGGGAUCAAAUUUGCAAUUUCAUAGCAGUUUUGGCUAAUACUGAUGAUAUUACAGCGGAGGGAUAGGGGGUGUAAAGUGUCUUUCUGCAGAGCAAUCAUUGUGUCGGAAGUGAGAUUUUCACCCCUGUCAACUUCAAAUCCGUGUAGCAAAAAAUCUAAACGGUCAACCCCCUACAAAAUUAUGAUGAGGAGAUUGCCAAAUGUUGUCCCCAUUGUGCCUAUAAAGAUUGGAACCAACGGAAUGUUGAGCAAAAAGCUACAGCCUGUGAUGUUACAGUCAUUUAACAUUGAAGUCAAUGGGCAAAUAAUUGCUAGUCUGACUCCUGAUGAAAAAAAGAAGCAUGGCCGACUCGGGAUGUUGAUAUUUUUUCAACGGCUUAUUUCCUGAAGUUUUGAAUGGAAAGUGUCAGAAAUGGUGCCAGAGCAAUGUUUCAUAGAGUGGAAUGAUUGACCUCAACACAAGUAUUAAAAAAAAAGAAGCAAAACAGGUCUACAUCUCAAAACCUGAUCUCUUCCUGGACUGGCUUUAGGAGAACGAUGAUGCAUAUCAAUUUCAUCCCUGAUCUCUAUGACACCUGAGGACCUCUGUAAACUUUGCUUUUUGGUGAUGACUUAAUUUCCGAGCUUGAAAAGGACGCUUGUGUGUUUAUCAUGGCCUCUCAUAUUGGAAGAUAACAUUAAUGGCUUGUGUGUUGAUCGACGGAUGUGCAUAUCUCUUGGUCAGGAAAGUUGUAGGCACCAUCGCCAUUGUAAAUCAUUUGACAGGCCCGAGUGAACGGGGCGACCUAUGAUUGGUCAGUAAUGUAUCAGAUUCCAUACCGGGGGGUGGGGAUGAAAAAACUGUUGUAGUGUUACAUAAUCAGAUUAUUUCAACUUACUUAUCCUGUGGAAAUACAGCUAUAUAGGAGAUAUUUUGAAAUUCAUAGGCACUGCAUGUUUCAACAUUUUAGAUUUGACCACAAUCUGGCACUUGAAACUAUGUUAAAAGAGAAAAACUGUGUGGUUUUCGAUGAAAGUGUUAAAAGUCUAAUAUUGCAUCAUGAUUACUGUUUUAAAGUAUUUUCGUGUUUGAUUUAUAUUGAAUUCAUCUCAUCUUUUUGAAGAAUGCAUUUAUGUUCAAAAAUAAAAAUGUUCUGUGGAAUUCAAAAUUCAUGUGCUUUUAAAUUAUCAGAUUCCAAACUGGGGGGUAGGGAUGAAAAAGCUGUUGUAGUGUUACAUAAUCAGAUUAUUUCAACUUACUUAUCCUAUGGAAAUACAGCUAUAUAGGAGAUAUUUUAAAAUUGAUAGGCACUGCAUGUUUCAACAUUUUAGAUUUGACCACAAUUUGGCACUUGAAACUACGUUAACAGAGAAAAACUGUGUGGUUUUCGAUGAAAGUGUUAAAAAGUCUAAUAUUGCAUCAUGAGUACUGUUUUAAAGUAUUUUCGUGUUUGAUUUAUAUUGAAUUGUAUUUAGAAAACGGAGGAAACCGAAUGACCCAGCGAAAAAACUCAAGAGAUUGGACAUGCGACUCUACUCCUUGAAAUUGAAACCAUGCCACUUAACACAAUGACAGACCCUGUGAUUUCAUGCGCAUGCAUUACCUACUAGACCAUUCCCCCCAGCCCCACCCCAUAUCGAAUAAAAUUUCAAUAUUGGAUGUAUAUGCAAAUCACCCAGAAAAAGAUCAUGUAAUAACAAAAGAAAUUAUAAAAGAAAAAAAGGAAGAAGUAAUGGCUGGAAAAAAUGAUGAUAGAGCAGCUUUUUCUUGUUACCCACCUCGGAAGAUCAAGUUGGAAAGGGCUAUUGAUAUUGUGAAACGUUUUCUCACAGAUCUUGCUUAUCAGACAAAGACUAUGCUGGAACACCAUUGAAAGAGUAUUUGCUGUAUGUUAACAACAAGAAAACCCAAGCAUCAAUUUAUUUUAUACUUCUGGGAAAGAAUGCAUUUGACCCAAUUUUUAAAUAUUUAUUUUUUGUUAUUAAUGUUAAAUUUUCUUCCAAAACACAAUUAGAUUUUAAUUCUCUUCAGAAAUGUAUGUAUUAUAUAGCAAGUAAAGUGGCAUAUAAAUCACUUAGAAUUUGGUCAGAAAUCAUAAAGUAUUUAAUAGGCAUUACUAGAAACCAAAUGUAGAUCAAAUACACCCAGAAUUACAAAAAACCUUGACCUACAUAAAGGUGACUUUCCCUUGCUAAUGAAAUGAAAUACGGUUUAGUAUCCUACUUUUCUGUGUUCUUAGAGUGAUUCUGCCCUACACCCUACUCUUAUAUCAAAUAUUUCAACUGUCAGGGUUCUUUAACGGGAACCCGGGGGGGGGGGGCAAUGAUUAACACGCACACAUUUGAUCAGGAAGUCUGUCAUUGAGUCAAAUAAUUCAAUUGUCAAGGCUUCUUCUAAGUGAACGCAGUGGGGAUGGUUUCGAUUCCGGGAAUAGGGGAGGGGGUGGUGGAUGGCCGAAUGGUAAGCAUGUGCGUGCGGUAUCAUACGGCCUGUCAUUGAGUCAACUGGCGUGGUUUCGAAUCCCCGGUUGUACGUGACAAGGAGUAGGGUCGCCUGUCCAAUCUUGUGGGUUUUCUACGGGACCUACGGUUUCAUCCCACUGCUAAAGACCCCUAUGCGCAACGAAUUAUUGAAAUAAAAUUAAACCAUAUGUUAAUCCCGAAAUGACCUAGUUUGUGUCAAGUGGACGUUAAACCCCAUUUCUCUCUCUCUCUCUUUCGAUUCCGGGCUUGUACCCAAUUAUCCCUUGCCAUAUCCAAGACUACUGACAAGUGGGAACUAUGCCGGAAAAUCCAGUUGAAAUUUCUCGGCCAACACCUUAUACUCACUGAACCACUGUGGCUUAUGACUUGUGAUUGUAUAUAAAUUUUUUGUACAUAUGAUAUUUUUUUAUUUCAAUCCUGUAAUCUUGAUGCUUUGCUUCUUUUAUUUACAAAAUAUUCAUUUUGUUUGGGUUUUUUUAAUGAGGAAAAGGUUUUACAUCAUUUUAUUACUCCUGCAAAAUAGUGCAUUUUUCUUUUGUUAGUUCUCUGUGUAUAUUAGUUAUUUCUAUAUGUCUCACAAAUCACUUGUAGUGUGAUUUUGUAGCACUUUUCAGUUUUUGAAAUUGUUUCAAUUUAGUGCAUAAUUAAUCUUAGUGCUUGGUUUGGAUGUUAUUAAAUUUAGAUAUUAUUUGAAUUAUAUAUUUUGGAGUAUGGGGUAGGGAUACUGUGUACAUAUCUUUAUAUUCUCAGUUCUUGUUUUGGGGUAAAGAACAAUUUAUAUAGCUAUUUUAUAUUUUGUGAUAGGUAAAGUGUGUGGGGUUAAGAACAAUUUAAAUAGCUAUGUUAUAUUUUGUGAUGGGUAAAGUGGGGUGUGUGUGUGUGUGUGUG